CCGCGGCCGGGAGGGCGGGCAUGGUUUGCAACUGGACUCUGACCCAGACCAGGAAGGCAGCCUGCAUCAUGUUGUUACUAACUGUUCUUCAUUUACCCAUUGAUGCCUCCCCGAAAGAGACGCAGACAGUGCCAGAAAGCCCAGCUGCUAUUCCACCAACAGCCACUGGAGGGCCCCAAACCCCAUUAUGAAUCUCACCAGCAGCCCAUUACCCACACUGUACAGGUGCCCAGCAAACCCAUUGAUCAGAGCACCAUCACUUCCUGGGUGUUACCUCAGUUUGAUACAGCAGCAGAAAGCCGGUUUCCAACACACCGGAAACAUCACCGAGACCAAGCAAGACACCCAACUCGGAGAUCUACCUGCAAGUUUCCACGUCUAACCUUUGAGAGUCCAGAGUCUUCGAGUUCAGAGACAUUGUUGCUAUCCAACAGAGAGCAGCUCCAGAACUCAGAAAAGGAUGCUCCCAGAAGGCCUUUAGUGCCAUUGUUCAGUCCCCAGAGCUGUGGGGAGCUGUCAGUGCACGUACCUCAAAGCUUACCUCAUGUGUUCAUGCCCCCCGAUAUCCAGACCCCAGGGUCUUCGGUAAGAGAAGAUCCCAUUUCCCCAGACCAGAAGGAAAACAGUCUUCCUAGCUGCAUCCUUGGUCCUAGGACCCCCAGGACCCCGGAGCCGGGGCCUGUUCUGGUCAAGGACACCCCUGAGGAGAAGUAUGGGAUUAAGGUCACGUGGAGACGCAGAAGGCACCUGUUUGCCUACCUUAAGGAGAGAGGGAAGCUGGAUAAAAGCCAGUUCCUUGUGAAGACCUGACUGGACUACACAGACUUCGGUUCACCCCAGAGCUGCUGCGGGGAGGUUUCCCAAGUCACUUCUGGUUUGAGAGGAUGCAAUGGAAUGAACAUUACUAGGAAGACGACUUAGCCAGAGGCCUAGAGUUGGAAUUCGGUUUCUAGAUUUCCUUUUUAAGCCACCUUGCCUCAGAAACAGUUGAAUUUAGUAUCAUGAACUGUUGGUAUUUUUCUCAUAUUAACUUCUAAACCUCUGAAGUAUCUUGUACUGUUUACAGUGCUUGUAAAUAAAUGGCUGUCCUGAGUUUUUAGAGAACCCCACCUUUGUCAGCAAUGUGGCAGCACGCCCAUCUAUAAAAGGUCUAUCUAUGCUCA
rnacentral:sRNA from 1 species